UCUAAAAAAAAAGCGUUGUUAAGUCCUAAUCGUGGCGCUUAACAGUGGUGACCCAGGAAGGAGUAGUUUAUUGGAAAAUGGGAAUCCGCCCCCAAAAACUUGUCAAUUCAAGUCCCACCACCGCCAUCAGCAUGGACCCUAAUCCAAUGGCAGCUGCUGACUAAAAACCUGUUCUUUUCUUCUCAUUAAUUCAUUUGAUUUAUUCAUUUCCCCAAUUCACCACUUUACCCAACUUGUUUCUCUUCUCUUCCCCCAAACUUAAUUUAGGGUUUGGGUAUUCGCCCCCGCCACCCCCUUCCCACCUUCUUUCCACACUCAACGACUUCGUCGCAGUUCCUCAAUACCCUUUUCGAUUCCCUCAGAAGUCGUAGUCCCUGCAGCUCAAAGUUUCAAUUUUUCUCAAUCCCCUUUCCGGGUCUUCUCCUUUUCAGAAACCCUAAGUUCCCAUUAUUGAUUUAUUUCGUGUUGGAUAUCUUGGAUUGUUGAUCUGAUCGGCUUGCAUUCGUGUUGAGGAGAAUUCUUUCGGAUUGUUCGAUUAGCGAAUUCUGGUGGAGCUGGGAUAAAAAGGAAAAUCUUUAUUUAGUGGCUAUUUUCAAAGAUUUCCUCAGGUGCCUGUUCUGCUGGAUAUAGCCGUAAAAGAUGGUACGAUUUUGCCAUCCCUUUGACCCUUAUCAAUCAUCCGGUGAUCAUUUUUGGUAUGGUCUGAAAAAGUUUAAACCGAUUUGAUUGCAUCACUGGUCUUUGCCUGUAUUUUCUCCAUUUUUGAUUUCUAGCAUGGAGAAAGACACAAUUCUGAUAUUGCUGAGUUACAUUUUUUCUUUACAUAAAUUGGUGGUUGCAUGUGUGAAGAUAAUAAGUUGUCUGCACUUUCACAAGAUACUUGUGAUUUGUUUUAUAUAUUUACUGAGGAGUCUUUGACCCAAAUCCUCUAAAUUGUGUCCCAGAAGGAUUCCUUUGAUUCAUGUUGUAAUGAUAAUGAUGCCUGUCUGACCAAAGGAAGGUUCUUGUAA